CCCGAGGAAAAGAAAUCAACCGAGAUUCCCCUAGUAGCGGCGAGCGAACGGGGAGCAGCCCAGAGUCUUAAUCAAUAACAGUGUCAGGAGAACGGUCUGGAAAGUCCGGCAGUAAAGGGUGAUAGCCCCGUAUCUGAAGAUGCUGUUGUUGUGAACUCGACGAGUAGGGCGGGACACGUGUUAUCCUGUCUGAAUAUGGGGGGACCAUCCUCCAAGGCUAAAUACUCCUGAUUGACCGAUAGUGAACCAGUACCGUGAGGGAAAGGCGAAAAGAACCCCGGCGAGGGGAGUGAAAAAGAACCUGAAACCGUGUACGUACAAGCAGUAGGAGCCUCUUUAUGGGGUGACUGCGUACCUUUUGUAUAAUGGGUCAGCGACUUAUAUUCUGUAGCAAGGUUAACCGUAUAGGGGAGCC
rnacentral:rRNA from 1 species